UACGUAGGGGGCAAGCGUUGUCCGGAAUCAUUGGGCGUAAAGAGCGUGUAGGCGGCUCGAUAAGUCCGCUGUGAAAGUCCAGGGCUCAACCCUGGAAGGCCGGUGGAAACUGUCGGGCUAGAGUCCGGAAGAGGCGAGUGGAGUUCCCGGUGUAGCGGUGAAAUGCGCAGAUAUCGGGAGGAACACCAAUGGCGAAGGCAGCUCGCUGGGACGGUACUGACGCUGAGACGCGAAAGCGUGGGGAGCAAACAGG
rnacentral:rRNA from 1 species